AUUGAACGCUGGCGGCAGGCCUAACACAUGCAAGUCGGACGAGUGGCGGACGGGUGAGUAAUGUCUGGGAAACUGCCUGAUGGAGGGGGAUAACUACUGGAAACGGUAGCUAAUACCGCAUACCAUCAGAUGUGCCCAGAUGGGAUUAGCUUGUAGGUGCGGUAACGGCUCACCAAGGCGACGAUCCCUAGCUGGUCUGCGAGGAUGUACAGCCACACUGGAACUGAGACACGGCCCAGACUCCUACGGGAGGCAGCAGUGGGGAAUAUUGCACAAUGGGCGCAAGCCUGAUGCAGCCAUGCCGCGUGUAUGAAGAAGGCCUUCGGGUUGUAAAGUACUUUCAGCGGGGAGGCGUUACCGACAGAAGAAGCACCGGCUAACUCCGUGCCAGCAGCCGCGGUAAUUC
rnacentral:rRNA from 1 species